AUGACCAACGGCGGCCACAGCAUGAGCGGGGCCAGCAUCGCGGGCGGUGCUGGCGGCUGGCUGGGUUUCUCGCUGUCGCCUCACGUGGCCAUGGACGCGGCCGCCGGCUCCGGCAUCGUCGACAUGGCCGGCCACCACCACGCGCACCACGGCGGGGUCUACUAUCACCCUGACGCGGUCGCCUCCUCCCCCAUGUCCUUCUACUUCGGCGGCGGCGACAAUGUCAGCGCUGCGAGCGGCGGGUACUACUCCGGGAUCUCCGCCCUGCCUCUCAGGUCCGACGGCUCCCUCUGCCUCGCCGACGCGCUCCGGAGGAGCGAGCAGAAACACCACGGGGCGGAGGUGUCGGCGCCGCCGAAGCUCGAGGACUUCCUGGGCGCGAGCCCCGCCAUGGCGCUGACCCUGGACAACUCCGGCUACUACUACGGCGGCCAAGGCCACGGCCAUGGCGACGCUGGAGAGGGCCAGCACCAGCUGCCGUCCGCCAUGAUGCCUGGCUCCGGUGGCCACCACAUGUACUACGACGCCCACGCGGCGUUGCUGGACGAGCAGGCUGCAGCCACGUCGGCCGCGAUGGAAGCGGCCGGCUGGAUGGCGCGUGCCGGAGACGUCUACGAGGUGGACGGCGGCAACGGCGAGGACGGCGGGGGCGCCAUCGUGACGGCCGGCCACGACAACCCCGGUGGGUACGUACACCCGCUGACGCUGUCCAUGAGCUCCGGGUCCCAGUCCAGCUGCGUGACAAUGCAGCAGUCGGCUGCACAGGCCCACGCCUACGUCGGCCAGGCGACCGCGGCCAGCAAGAAGCGCGGCGCCGGCGCCGGCGCCGGGCAGAACAAGCAGCCGGUCGUGCACCGCAAGUGCAUCGACACCUUCGGCCAGCGAACGUCCAAGUACAGGGGCGUCACCAGGCAUAGGUGGACGGGGAGGUAUGAGGCGCACCUCUGGGACAACAGCUGCCGGAAGGAAGGCCAGACCAGGAAAGGCCGGCAAGUUUAUCUUGGUGGGUAUGACAUGGAGGAGAAGGCGGCGAGGGCGUAUGACCUGGCGGCGCUCAAGUACUGGGGCGCGUCCACGCACAUCAACUUCCCGGUGGAGGACUACCAGGAGGAGCUGGAGGUGAUGAAGAACAUGACCAGGCAGGAGUACGUGGCUCACCUCAGAAGGAAGAGCAGCGGGUUCUCGCGCGGCGCUUCGAUGUACCGGGGAGUCACCAGGCACCACCAGCAGGGGCGGUGGCAGGCGCGCAUCGGCCGCGUCUCCGGCAACAAGGACCUCUACCUCGGCACAUUCAGCGCGGAGGCGGACGCGGCGGAGGCCUACGACGUGGCGGCGAUCAAGUUCCGCGGCCUCAACGCGGUCACCAACUUCGACAUCAACCGGUACGACGUGGACAAGAUCAUGGAGAGCAGCACGCUCCUGCCCGGCGACCAGGUGCGGCGCAGGAAGGACGGCCCCGACGAUAGCGCCGCCGUGGUGGCCAGCGCGGCGGCCGCCCUCGUGCAGGCCGGCAGCGCCACGGACUACUGGAGGCAGCCUGCGGCGGUGACCACGGACGAGCACAGCCGCCACCACCUGGGCCUUCUGUCGAGUGAGUCCUUCUCCCUGCUGCGCGGCGUGGUGUCCGUGGACGGCGACGCCGCUGGUGCUCAGCAGGGGCAGGGCAACCGCAUGUCGGGCGCGUCGUCCCUGGCCACGAGCCUGAGCAACUCCCGGGAGCAGAGCCCGGACCAGGGAGGCGGCCUGGCCAUGCUGUUCGCCCGGCCCGCGGCGCCGAAGCUGGCGAGCUCGCUGCCCAUGGGCACCUGGGUCUCAUCGCCGGCGCCGGCCAGGCCCGGCGUGUCCGUGGCGCACAUGCCAAUGUUCGCCGCGUGGGCCGACGCCUGA
rnacentral:rRNA from 1 species